CAAGAAAAAUCUAGAGAAAAGAAAGGGGAGAAACUUGAAGCUAGAGAGAGAGGGAGCUCGAAUUUGGGAGAAACAAAGCCCAAAACGUUACCAAACAGCCCCGAAGUUUCAGCUGCGCUAAGAAGGUUUCUGAGGCGCAAUUUUGGCUAGUUUUGGCCAAUUUCGGAUAAGGUACUAGCUGAAGAAACUGGGGAAUCCGCCAAUACGGCAUAACUUCAGGGAAGGAAACGUAACAGCUCACGCUCUAGAAAAUUAUGCAAGAAAAAGUAGUUUUAAAGGCUGUGUAACCCACUUAGUCCCUCCUCCUUGGACGCUACCAUCACUACUAUACGAUCAGCAAGGAUAGUCUACUACUAAAGAAGUGUUUACUAGUACUUGUAAUAAUCUAGCUCAGUUUGGGAAUAGUAAUAUCCCAGAUGUA